rnacentral:rRNA from 1 species
AAAUAACUACGAGUAAAAACUUAAAAUUUAAAAGACUUGACGGUACUUCACAACAGCCUAGAGGAGCCUGUCCAAUAACCGAUAACCCACGAUUAACCCAACCCCCUCUAGCCAACAGUCUAUAUACCGCCGUCGCCAGCCUACCUUAUGAAAGAAAAAAAGUAGACUAAAUAAUACCACACUAAUACGACAGGUCGAGGUGUAACAAAUGAGGGGGUACAAGAUGGGCUACAUUUUCUUAACAGAACAAACAGAUGAAAUAAUGAAAACAUUUCUGAGGGAGGAUUUAGCAGUAAGGUGGGAACACAAUACCUAACUGAACCAUGCAAUGAAGUGCGU